CAACGUAGGUAACCUGCCCAUGUGUCCGGGAUAACUGCUGGAAACGGUAGCUAAAACCGGAUAGGUAUACAGAGCGCAUGCUCAGUAUAUUAAAGCGCCCCAUCAAGGCGUGAACAUGGAUGGACCUGCGGCGCAUUAGCUAGUUGGUGAGGUAACGGCCCACCAAGGCGAUGAUGCGUAGCCGGCCUGAGAGGGUAAACGGCCACAUUGGGACUGAGACACGGCCCAA
rnacentral:rRNA from 1 species